CGGGGGUGGAGUAAUGUCUGGGAAACGGCCUGAUGGAGGGGGGUAACUACUGGAAACGGUAGCUAAUACCGCAUAACGUCGCAAGACCAAAGAGGGGGACCUUCGGGCCUCUUGCCAUCGGAUGUGCCCAGAUGGGAUUAGCUAGUAGGUGGGGUAAUGGCUCACCUAGGCGACGAUCCCUAGCUGGUCUGAGAGGAUGACCAGCCACACUGGAACUGAGACACGGUCCAG
rnacentral:rRNA from 1 species